rnacentral:rRNA from 1 species
CAGCCGCCGCGGUAAUACCGGCGGCCCGAGUGGCGGUCACUAUUAUUGGGCUUAAAGCGUCCGUAGCCGGGUUGGGAAGUCCUCCGGGAAAUCUGGCCGCUUAACGGUCAGAAUGCCGGAGGAUACUCCCAGCCUAGGGAGCGGGAGAGGCCGAGGGGAUUCCCGGAGUAGGGGUGAAAUCCUAUAAUCCCGGGAGGACCACCUGUGGCGAAGGCGCUCGGCGGGAACGCGUCCGACGGUGAGGGACGAAGGCCAGGGGAGCAAACCGGAUUAGAUACCCGGGUAGUCCUGGCGGUAAACGAUGCGGACUUUGUGUCGGACAAGCUAUGAGCUUGUCCGGUGCCGGAGGGAAACCGUUAAGUCCGCCGCCUGGGGAGUACGGCCGCAAGGCUGAAACUUAAAGGAAUUGGCGGG